GACGAACGCUGGCGGCAGGCUUAACACAUGCAAGUCGAACGGCUGUAGCAAUACAGCAGUGGCAGACGGGUGAGUAACACGUGGGAACCUUCCUCGGGGGUACGGAACAACUCAGGGAAACUUGGGCUAAUACCGGUAUACGUCCGUAAGGAGAAAGAUUCAUCGCCCCGAGACGGGCCCGCGUCGGAUUAGGUAGUUCGGUGGGGUAACGGCCCACCAAGCCUACGAUCCGUAGCUGAUCUGAGAGGANGAUCAGCCACACUGGGACUGAGACACGG
rnacentral:rRNA from 1 species